rnacentral:snRNA from 1 species
AUACUUACCUGGUGUCGGGGCCUCGUUGAUCACCGAGGACGAACCUCCAGGGCGAGGCACAGGAAUUUCACUGCGCUCGCGUUGACCUCAGCCGCUACCCCCAAACUGUGGCAGAUGGGGCGUGCAAAUUCC